UCUUUGCAGACUUGUCGAUCAGCCCUUGGUGACCUCCAUCACCUGUGGGCACAACAAGGCUGCAGAAAGCAACUAAAGAAUGAAAAGGCGUGGUUCCCGCAGGCUUGGGAGUUCCACGUGCGAUGUUCCUUGGACAGACUCCUGCCUCCCACGGUGGUGGAGGCCUGUCUCAGUGGCCCUCACCUUUCUUGAGGCAAGUAGAGAAAAACCAGGCAGCCUGAUAUUGUUUGGACCAGGGGAAGCUUUUCCUGCCAGACACUGUCCGCUGUCACAGUA